CCACUCCGUCAUGGACUGACCUAGACUCGUUUGUACUUCAUCGCCGCCACCAUCAUCAUCGUCAACGCGAACAAUAGAGCAAACGCUGCAGGGCCUGCGCUGCUCUCUCAGGAUUAUCAUCACAAAUCUAACGAUGAUCAACUGCGUCGACCUGACACCAAACGUUUGAAGCGGACGGAAUAAACACAGCAUCGUCUUUAUUUGAACAAUUGCGUGAAAGAUGGCGAACGACUCGCCCGCGAAGAGCCUGGUGGAUAUAGACCUCGCCUCUCUGCGCGACCCUGCUGGCAUUUUUGAGCUGGUGGAAGUGGUCGGCAAUGGCACGUACGGACAAGUAUACAAGGGUCGACAUGUCAAAACCGGACAGCUGGCAGCCAUCAAAGUCAUGGACGUGACUGAAGAUGAAGAAGAGGAGAUUAAGCUGGAGAUUAACAUGCUGAAGAAAUACUCUCAUCACAGAAACAUUGCCACAUAUUACGGCGCGUUCAUUAAGAAGAGCCCUCCAGGACAUGACGACCAGCUGUGGCUGGUGAUGGAGUUUUGUGGAGCCGGUUCGAUAACAGACCUUGUGAAAAACACGAAAGGAAACUCGCUGAAAGAAGACUGGAUUGCGUACAUCUCCAGAGAGAUUCUCAGGGGUUUGGCCCACCUGCACGCUCAUCACGUCAUCCACAGAGACAUCAAGGGCCAGAACGUGCUGCUGACGGAGAACGCAGAGGUCAAGCUAGUGGACUUUGGCGUCAGCGCUCAGCUGGAUCGGACCGUCGGCCGCAGAAACACCUUCAUCGGAACGCCGUACUGGAUGGCUCCAGAGGUCAUCGCCUGUGACGAAAACCCGGACGCUACUUACGACUACAGGAGCGACCUGUGGUCCUGUGGGAUCACGGCUAUAGAGAUGGCGGAGGGCGCUCCUCCGUUGUGUGAUAUGCAUCCCAUGCGCGCGCUCUUUCUCAUACCCAGAAAUCCUCCACCCAGACUCAAGUCCAAGAAAUGGUCCAAGAAGUUCUUCAGCUUCAUCGAGGGCUGUCUGGUGAAGAACUACACGCAGCGGCCGCCCACCGACCAGCUCCUGAAGCACCCCUUCAUCAGAGACCAGCCCAACGAGAGGCAGGUGCGGAUCCAGCUCAAAGACCACCUGGACCGCUGCCGCAAGAAGCGCGGAGAGAAAGAUGAGACCGAGUAUGAAUACAGCGGCAGUGAGGAAGAGGAGGAGGAAGCUCAGGAGCAGGAAGGAGAGCCCAGCUCUAUCGUGAAUGUGCCGGGCGAGUCGACUCUGCGCCGGGACUUCAUCCGUCUGCAGCAGGAGAAUAAGGAGCGCUCGGAGGCACUGAGGCGACAGCAGCUCCUCCAGGAACAGCAGCUGCGCGAGCAGGAGGAAUACAAGCGCCAACUACUGGCUGAACGACAGAAGCGCAUCGAGCAGCAGAAGGAGCAAAGGAGGCGGCUGGAGGAGCAACAGAGACGCGAGCGAGAGAUGAGGAGACAACAAGAGCGAGAGCAGAGGAGGAGAGAGCAGGAGGAGAAGAGACGCUUGGAGGAGAUUGAGAGGAGACGCAAAGAAGAGGAGGAGCGCAGGAGGGCAGAAGAGGAGAAGAGGAGGGCUGACCGUGAGCAGGAGUACAUCCGCCGGCAGCUGGAGGAGGAGCAGAGACACCUGGAGAUCCUGCAGCAGCAGCUGUUACAUGAACAGGCGAUGCUCCUGGCGGAUGAGCGGCACAGGAGGAACGUGCAGGGUUCUCCUCAGGCUGUGGUGAUGCCGAAGCAGCCGCCCGCUGUACCGCCACGCUCAGAAGUGUUUUCCAACGGCAGUGUCUCAGAACAGAGCCAUCGACCCGCUGACCCACAGGAUCUGACGGCCCUCGCGAAGGAACUGCGUGCGGUGGAGGACGUGCGGCCGCAGCACAAAGCCACAGACUACUCGUCCUCCAGCGACGACUCUGGGACCACUGAUGAUGAAGAUGAUGAGGAGGUGGAUCAGGACAUCGGAGACGAGUCGACGUCCGGCCCAGAGGACUCACGAGGAGGAGGCUCGUCUAGACUCAGUAAUGGUGAGGCAGAAGCAGCGAAGACGAUGGUGGUCCAGGACGAUGACGCCUCCUCUACACCAUGCAAAGACAGCACGCUGGUCAUGAGACAGUUCCAGAGAUCAGGGCCCGUGACACUGUUGGGUUCAGGUUGGAAAGAGGCUUCUAGUCCCAGUCCUGUAGAGACUGGGCAGAGGAACUGCAUUAGGGGUGGAAACCCGCUCCUGCCCGACCUGCUCCAGCAGAGUCAGCGCUCGCCCCCUCACUCCGUCUCCUCUCCCAGCAGCCCUGCCCUGUCCCCCCUCAGUCCCUCGGACAGACACCCGUACCUGGCAGAGACUCCCACUGUGCCGAAGCACAAGUCUUCCUCCUCUUUCACGCCCUUCAUUGACCCGCGCCUCCUCCAGGUCUCUCCGUCCACCGGCAGCGCUCUCAAUAACGCUGGUUACAGUAAUGACGCUCGGCUGCAGGAGGCUCUGCGUCAGGACGCGUCCCGUAAGGGUUCGGUGGUCAACGUCAAUCCUGUCAACACACGGCCACAGAACGACACGCCGGAGAUCCGCAAAUACAAGAAGAGGUUUAAUUCGGAGAUCUUGUGCGCUGCUCUGUGGGGUGUGAAUCUGUUAGUCGGGACCGAGAGCGGCCUCAUGCUGCUGGAUCGCAGCGGUCAAGGGAAAGUCUACCCACUCAUAAGUCGUAGACGCUUUCAACAAAUGGAUGUUUUGGAGGGACUUAAUGUACUAGUGACAAUAUCAGGGAAGAAGAAUAAAUUGCGUGUGUACUAUCUUUCGUGGCUGAGGAACAAGAUCCUCCAUAAUGACCCUGAGGUGGAGAAGAAGCAGGGCUGGACCACCGUAGGAGACUUGGAGGGCUGUGUGCACUACAAAGUCGUGAAGUACGAGAGGAUCAAGUUCUUGGUUCUGGCCCUGAAGAAUUCAGUCGAGGUGUAUGCGUGGGCUCCCAAACCAUACCAUAAAUUCAUGGCUUUCAAGUCCUUUGGUGAUCUGGUGCACAAGCCACUGCUAGUUGACCUCACAGUUGAAGAAGGCCAAAGGUUAAAGGUCAUCUAUGGGUCCUGCUCUGGGUUUCAUGCCGUGGAUGUAGACUCAGGAGCCGUCUAUGACAUUUAUCUGCCAACUCACAUUCAGACGAGUAUUCAGUCACAUGCCAUCAUCAUCCUGCCAAACACUGAUGGCAUUGAGCUGCUGGUGUGUUAUGAAGAUGAGGGCGUGUAUGUCAACACCUACGGCCGCAUCACCAAAGACGUGGUGCUCCAGUGGGGCGAGAUGCCCACAUCUGUUGCCUACAGUACCGUUGGACAUGGACUUUAUCCAACUGCACAACCCUGCAGGCUGCUUAUAUUCGCUCUAACCAGAUCAUGGGCUGGGGAGAGAAGGCUAUAGAGAUCCGCUCUGUAGAAACAGGCCACUUGGAUGGAGUUUUCAUGCACAAAAGAGCACAAAGACUAAAGUUUUUGUGUGAGAGAAAUGACAAGGUUUUCUUUGCAUCUGUGCGUUCUGGAGGCUCUAGCCAGGUCUACUUCAUGACUCUGGGUCGGACCUCCCUGCUCAGCUGGUAAUCCACGGCGAUGAACAGCGAUGAAUCUGAUCUACCAAUGAAGUUUCUUAAAGUGAUCAGCUGAGGCCAGGCCACACAAACGGCCAGAGCCCGCUGAAGGACUGACAAACACCAACUGCGAUUAGACAAAAAUUGAAUCUGCGUCCUUUUGCAGCGUGCUGCAUGGGAACUGGCUUGAGUAUUCUACAGUAUUAUUGCUAGUCUGUGUAAAUGUCUUUCUCUAGAGUUUAAUAAAAUCUGACUCCGCUGAGAGGAACGGUGAAGUUCUGCUGUUGUGUCUCUCAGUCACAAAUAGUGUCAUAACAAUGGUGAAACACAAAAUGGCUUUUUGUCCUGUAUUUUUAUUUAUGGGUUAUUUAUUUCUAGGUUUUUUUUUUUUUGUUAUUAUUCAUUUGUUUUUACUAAGCAGAGUAGUUCCAGUAAUGUGGAAGAUGCCGGAGAGGGUUAAACAUUUCCUGACAGAAUUCUAGUGUUCCCAACCUGAGCUUUAUGGAGCAUCUUAUGAAGUCAGCUAAUGGUCAUGUGAUGUCAACAGGAAGCAGACAGCUGCGUUAGCUUCGGGUUUGCUUUUGGCACAUUAAAAACAUGGAUUUGGAUUAAUGUCAGUUUAAUGUGGACUGUCCUGUGGCACUUGGUUGCCUCUUCUCUUUUCCUCAUCUAUUCUUGUCUUCUCUCAUUUCCCUCUUCCCUCUUUUUUUUUUCUUCUGCCACACGUCUGAUGACACUGGCCUCAUUCCUGCAUUGAAAUGACCAAUGAAAGAGGUUUGAUCAGUAUCUGUUUAACAAGUAGAGAAGUGUGCAUCAAAACCUUGUGUCCCAUCCUUGUUUUGAAGAGCGUAUGUGAGGAACUGUGAGUGAAAGCUCGUUCUGGCAUCUUAUGCAUUGGACUUGAAAAACUUGUCCUGAAACUGACCCGAACGGUCCACUCAACCAGACCGUCGUUAUAAAACUGACAUUUGAUUCAUUCUGUAUGAUUGUUAAUGAAAGAGUUUUUUGUUCCAAGAUAUUGUUUAUCAUCAGACAGAGAUCAUGUUAAACCGAGAAUACAAACCUGAAUCUCAGACUGAGCUGCUCAGAGUUCAGACAUUCUUCUAACAUAAUCUCCGUUAUGGAAACAUUACCUUACAUUUUCUGAGAAAGAAUGUGUUGGUCAUGGACUAUUAUUAUUAUCAUUUGUAACUGAACUGUAUAUAUUUAAUAAAAGGCAGGACUUCUUUCAUACGCUUAAAGCGUAUGAAAAGGAAGGGAUGAGCAUGCAUGAGUCACAGACAGCUUCUGGUGUUUAUGGGUUUUAUUAUUAUUAUGGUUUUAGUUUUCUCUCUCUGCUUUUUCUUUUUAAAGUUUGUACACACACACACAAACUUAGUGAAUCUGUUGGAUUAUGUCUAUUAUGUUUAUGGAGUUAUUUUCUCUUUUUAGUUCAUGCCUCACUUCUGCUCUCCCCACAUAAAGUAUUUAUAGAUUUAUAUGUUCUAUAAGUUCUACAUUUCAGUUGCUUGUGAAAAUUAGUAUUAGAUUUGAUUUUAGUAUUUUAACAAAGCUAUUAAACUUUUAGUGAGUUAAAAGAAGAACAUGAAUUGUGCCAGUGGCAAAAACUAAAAGUGAAGCAUACGUUUAGAAACACACAAAACUAAAGCUGGUUUGGCGCUCUUUUUUUCCUCUAAGCUUUAACUCUGAAAAUCCCUCAGUCCUACACAGUUAAGAACAACUGUGGUGUUUCAGUUAUUGGACCUGAAAUAAAUUCACCUGGAACAAAAAAAGAAGAAAGGUUUAAAUGCAAAAUUUUGUAAAUCUAAUGUUCAUUGUUGUUUUAUUUUAAGAUAUUGUUUUUUAUAUAUUUCAACCAUAAUUCUUGUUAAUUAAUAAUAACAAUAAUAAUUCAGAUGGUGUUUCCUCAGCGCUGCUUUGACUUUCUGAAUAUGUUCUUGGCUGACUGGUUGUCUGUUUUUCAGUCGUGGCACUGUAUCGUACGUCCUCUCUGUAUAUGACAGGAAGUCCUGUAUUUUCCUGAUGGUCCUUUUGUUUUUCUUUGAAAAUAAAUUCGGUUUACUUUAA